UACAGUGGCGACCCGGGUGAGUAACACGUGACUACCUAACCCCUUGAGUGGGGGAUAACCUCGGGAAACCGAGGCUAAUACCGCAUAAAAUCGUCGUUAAUAGCGACGAUCAAAGGAGCAAUUCGCUUUUGGAGGGGGUCGCGGCUGAUUAGCUAGUUGGUGGGGUAAUGGCCCACCAAGGCGAAGAUCGGUAUCCGGCCUGAGAGGGCGCACGGACACACUGGAACUGAAACACGGUCCAG
rnacentral:rRNA from 1 species